CUAAGGAUGAUCCUUCAGCGAGCUUCGGCUCACUAUCGGAUCGUUUUAGAAACAUCAGUGGCCAACAGAUCGCCAGAUCGUUGAGCUGCAUUGGCGGGAUUUCGCCGUCUACGUUUCUCUUUCUUCGCGGACGAACACGCGCUGGGGCUGCAAGCUGCAGAAUCCCUGGUCCUUAACAGGAUAUGCGUUAGGGGCUUGUAGCUCAGUUGGUUAGAGCGCGCGCUUGAUAAGCGUGAGGUCGGAAGUUCAAGUCUUCCCAGGCCCACCACUUUCAUCGAGUGAGCAUUCGUCUUCUGGUUACGGGGCCAUAGCUCAGCUGGGAGAGCGCGUGCUUUGCAAGCAUGAGGUCGUCGGUUCGAUCCCGUCUGGCUCCACCAGAUGGUUUGAUCACCGAGAUCUUGUACCGUCGUCCGCGAAACAUCACUUCGCAUCCUGCUAGUCUGGAUAGACAGCAAGAUGCGUGAUUUCUGACAUCGUAAAGAGGAGAUCGAUCCGAGUUGGAUCGUGCGGCGAGCAAUUGCCACGCGGGACUUCAUUAUCUCCGGAUCAUUUCGGCGCUCGUGCGUCUUUCAAAGGUAGCUCACAAGGCUGCGCUUGAGAGACAAGCGAGUUGUAAAUGAUCCUUUUAGCGAAGCUUGACCGCCUCGCUAUCGGAACGAUCUUACGAAGCAAGCUGGUCUUUCUAAUCAUUGUCCGGCUGCAGAUAGCGUUCAUCGAGGGCGCGUGCCGCAAGGUAAUUCUGCAGACAACAUUCUGCCGAGUGUGUGGACAUUGAUAAUGAGAGC
rnacentral:tRNA from 1 species